UGGGUCUCAGGCAGGCUUCAUCAGUAUACCU
rnacentral:piRNA from 1 species